ensembl:snRNA U6 U6 spliceosomal RNA
GUGCUCACUUUGGUGGCACAGACACUAAAGUUGGCACCACACAGAGAAGCUUAGCGGGGUCUGAGCACAAGGAUGACACACAAUGCCUGAAGUACUGCACAUUAAA